GCAUAAUCAUUUGCCCCUUAAUUAGGGGCUAGCAUGAAUGGACAAACGAGAUUAUACCUGUCUCCUUUAUACCUAUAAAAAUUAAUCUACAGGUGAAGAAGCCUGUAUUCUUAUAAAAGACAAGAAGACCCUGUCGAACUUUAAUUAUUUAUAAUAUAACGCAAUAUCUAUGCCCCCUCUUAUAAAUAAUCUUUGUUGGGGCGACAAUGGAGCAUAAAAACCCUCCACUACAAUCUAGACAACAAGUCACCCAAAAAAUCCCCAAAAGGAACCUGGAACUAGCUACCGCAGGGAUAACAGACUAAUCUUCCUCAAGAGCCCAAAUCUACAGGAAGGCUUGG
rnacentral:rRNA from 1 species